rnacentral:rRNA from 1 species
GACAGAGGAUGCAAGCGUUAUCCGGAAUCACUGGGCGUAAAGCGUCUGUAGGUGGUUCGAAAAGUCCACUGUUAAAAAUUGAGGCUUAACUUCAAAGAUGCCGUGGAAACUUUCAAACUAGAGUAUGGUAGGGGUAGAGGGAAUUUCCAGUGGAGCGGUGAAAUGCGUAGAGAUCGGAAAGAACACCAACGGCGAAAGCACUCUGCUGGGCCGACACUGACACUGAGAGACGAAAGCUAGGGGAGCGAAUGGG